CACGUAGGGGGCAAGCGUUGUCCGGAUUUAUUGGGCGUAAAGAGCUCGUAGGCGGCUCAGUAAGUCGGGUGUGAAACCUCCAGGCUCAACCUGGAGACGCCACCCGAUACUGCUGUGGCUUGAGUCCGGUAGGGGGAGCGUGGAAUUCCUGGGUGUAGCGGUGAAAUGCGCAGAUAUCAGGAGGAACACCAGCGGCGAAGGCGGCGCUCUGGGCCGGAACUGACGCUGAGGAGCGAAAGCGUGGGUAGCAAACAGG
rnacentral:rRNA from 1 species